rnacentral:misc_RNA from 1 species
AAGUCGUAACAAGGUUUCCGUAGGUGAACCUGCGGAAGGAUCAUUAACAAUGAGAAAUUGCUCGUGCCUAGGCAAAAUUGAGCCAGUGGCGAUAUUUUGUCUGGGGACUGCAAACUGCGAUACCGUGUCUCUUACUAAAUGUAUGAGGCCAUCAACAAGAACCUGGGGUACUCUGAAGUGGAGGCAACUCUGCUUUGGAGCCCUGCAAUAAUCCCUUUUUCUUACCAUUCUACCCUUAAAACUAUAAGACUGAUAUGACAUGAUUUAAUGUCAAUAUUAAAUCACAAAACAACUCUUAACAAUGGAUAUCUAGGUUCUG